rnacentral:rRNA from 1 species
UGGGGAAUUUUGGACAAUGGGCGAAAGCCUGAUCCAGCAAUGCCGCGUGUGUGAAGAAGGCCUUCGGGUUGUAAAGCACUUUUGUCCGGAAAGAAAUGGCUCUGGUUAAUACCUGGGGUCGAUGACGGCACCGGAAGAAUAAGGACCGGCUAACUACGUGCCAGCAGCCGCGGUAAUACGUAGGGUCCAAGCGUUAAUCGGAAUUACUGGGCGUAAAGCGUGCGCAGGCGGUUGUGCAAGACCGAUGUGAAAUCCCCGAGCUUAACUUGGGAAUUGCAUUGGUGACUGCACGGCUAGAGUGUGUCAGAGGGGGGUAGAAUUCCACGUGUAGCAGUGAAAUGCGUAGAGAUGUGGAGGAAUACCGAUGGCGAAGGCAGCCCCCUGGGAUAACACUGACGCUCAUGCACGAAAGCGUGGGGAGCAAACAGGAUUAGAUACCCUGGUAGUCCACGCCCUAAACGAUGUCAACUAGUUGUUGGGGAUUCAUUUCCUUAGUAACGUAGCUAACGCGUGAAGUUGACCGCCUGGGGAGUACGGUCGC